GAUUAAAAAAUAAUAAUAAUAAUAGAAGAAACUACAUGGACCAAUCAAUAUUUUCACAUAAUUAAGAAGCUGAAUUAUAAGGAGAUAAGCAUACUCCUUCAGUACAUUAUUUUUCCAUGAUUGGCCUGUCUUCCAACAUCAAAAUCCUUCGCAGGCCUUAUUAUUAGACCAAAAAGCUUCUAAAAGACUACCCUCCAAAAAAAAAAAAGAUUAAUGGAGUUCAAAAAGAACAAAAAAGAGCCAAAGAUUUGAUUAACAAAAAACAAUCAAUCCUUGUCAAGCUAGCCAUUCCCCAUCCAUGCCUUCAAUUUCUCCAAUGUCCAUGCUGUGCAUCACAAAUUACAAAACAUAAUCAUCAGUGAACUCAUCAUUUGUCAACGGCUUUUGUUUUUUCAUGGAAUAAAAUAAACUUUCUUUCUAGUACUGAACAACUAAUUGGUUGACAGCAAAUAAUAAAUAAAUAAACAAACAGGGAAAUUAAAUAUCAUGGGCUGGUUGAACUAAUGAAGCCUUUACUGUAAAGCCCAUGAAUGCAAACAUGGACUACCAAGAGAUAAUUGGGCACCACAGGGCAAAGGUCCCUCACAAAGCCGUUAAUAAGGGCCUUAAAUUUUUCAGAAGGUAAAUGUCAAAGACCAAAGAUGAAAUAAAUUGUAUAUGAUUAGGUGCUUCAAUUAAUGCAUAAUUUUGAUGAUUUAAGACCCAAUUUUAUAAUUUGAAAGUGCUGAUCAAAAUAAAGCCAAAUUCCUUAAUUCGUUUUGUAAGAAGAAAUUAAUUACCUGCUUUGGUGAAAGCCUUUGAACAGAAAAUAUUUGCUCAUUUAUUAUUAUAUUUUUACCAUUUUUUAAUGAAUUUUGAAAUUCUGGAUUCUUACCAAGGCAAGGCAGGAUCAUGGUAAUAAUCUUGGGAGCAGUAAUCAUCAAAAUGUUGCUCCAAACAUCCGUCACUUGCAUUCAACCAGGCAGGGAAUUCCAUCAGCUGAUCAAAUGGAUCGUAACCAUCAUCCUCUGUCUUCGCUUCUGGACCAGCAUCCAUGGUUUUCAAGAACUUGAACCACCAUGCUGAUGUGACCAAAUUCAUGGUAUCACUCCAUUCCAUCUGGUGCUGUUCUCCUAUUGAUCUGAUCUCUGCCAUCUCUUCAUCAUCCAUCACUUGGUGCAAGCCGCCUCCACCAUUAGUUUCGGUUAAGUCACACACUGCAAGAGGCAUCCCUUCUUGUGGUUUUCCAGCUGAAGGAAUUUCCUCAGUGGCAAUGGAAAGAGAAGGGGAUGAGGAAGAGAAUGAUGAUGGAGAUGAGGAUGAGUAGACUGAUGAUGGGUUGUUGCCGCUGUGAUAAAGAGUGGAGUCUAAGUCGUUAAAAUCUUGAAAGUUGAGAUUUAGGCCUAGGGUUUGAUUUGGAAGGGGGAAAUUGAGAUUUUCAUCAGUGACAGAUAAAGGAAGAUUUGGAGGAGUAGACCAGCAAAAAGGAUAUGGAGGAGGGGGAGGAGGUGGUGGUGCAUGAGAGAAAGAAGUGCAGGAAACGCUGUCUAGAUAAUUAGAGAAAUUGCCCAUGUUUGAUGGAUAUAUUCUGGGAUUCCUCCUGGAUUUUAUCUUUCCUUCUUGUUCAAAACAUGGUGGGGUGGAAAGCUGCACUGCAAGUGAUGAUUGGUGGUGCUCUUGAUGACGUUGCUGCUGCUGCUGCUGUUGUUCGUUGGCUUGUUUCAUAGAUGCCCUAUGGAACUUUAGGGCAGCAACAAUCUCUCUUCUGGCCUCAGCCAUAUUAAGAAGCCUUUCUUGGUAAGGCCUACUGGUAUGGAGUCUCCUCCUAACCUGUUUCUUGUGCUGCUGAGGCUGCUGGGGUUGCUGGGUUUGUUGGUUUUCACUUAAACCUUCACUAAAUUUGGACAUAUUUUGGCCAGAAAAACCAUCAUCAUCAACACAGCCACGGUCUUUGGGAUUCAUGGGAUCUUUGGUUCUUGAGGAGGUUAAUUGUUUCACUAGGCUACGGAUGUAAGCACCCGAGAGAUGAGGUUCCUCUUUCUGCUUGUUAUGUUUAUCUAUUUCCAUUCCCUCUUUGGUCUCUUGCUUAGAUGAUGAUCUACCC
rnacentral:misc_RNA from 1 species